rnacentral:rRNA from 1 species
GCUCAGGAUGAACGCUGGCGGCGUGCUUAACACAUGCAAGUCGAACGGGAAACCUUUUAUUGAAGUUUCGGCAGAUUUGGCUGGUUUCUAGUGGCGGACGGGUGAGUAACGCGUGGGUAACCUGCCUUAUACAGGGGGAUAACAACCAGAAAUGGUUGCUAAUACCGCAUAAGCGCACAGGACCGCAUGGUCCAGUGUGAAAAACUCCGGUGGUAUAAGAUGGACCCGCGUUGGAUUAGCUAGUUGGCAGGGCAACGGCCUACCAAGGCGACGAUCCAUAGCCGGCCUGAGAGGGUGAACGGCCACAUUGGGACUGAGACACGGCCCAGACUCCUACGGGAGGCAGCAGUA